rnacentral:rRNA from 1 species
UACAGAGGUCCCAAGCGUUACUGAGAAUCACUGGGUUUAAAGGGUGCGUAGGUGGUCCGUUAAGUCAGUUGUGAAAUCCCCGGGCUCAACCCGGGAAAUGCUUCUGAUACUGGCGGACUUGAGGCCAGUAGGGGUCACUAGAACUGACGGUGGAGCGGUGAAAUGCGUAGAUAUCGUCAGGAAUGCCGGUGGUGAGACGGGUGACUGGGCGUGGUCUGACACUGAGGCACGAAAGCGUGGGGAGCGAACGGG